UAAUUUACCAUCCCAUAAUAGACGAGCUGGCCAUUGUCCCCGGGACAAGGGUGAGGAUUGGACCAGAGUGUGGGAAACGCCAAGGCUGGUCGAACCCAGGCUUUUGAAUGCCACCGCCGGGGUAUAAAGAGACGCUCUCCGUUUCCCCCACCGCACUUAACAAGCCAGGGAUUGGCUUGGAAUGCUGGCUUGUGCAGGCUGUGCAGCCUUCUCCCAGGACACCCCAAAGGAAAAGAGCCUUAGCCAGGAUGGAUGAAGGGAAACCAUGAUGACACAGAAGCCAGCAUGGGAAAGAAGGAUGACAAAACGACUUCUGCAGACACCACUUUGAAUCUGAGAGGCUGAGCCCCCAAAAUACAGCCAUGGAAGAACAUUUUCUACCCGAAACCAGGAGGGCAGCAUCUUCUCAGCAAGGAAUUUGCAGAUCCCACCUCUCCGCUCGACCGAGUCUUAAAUCUUUGCCUCAAUCUUACGGCGAUGCUUAUCAAGAAUACAGCGGCUUCUCCAGAAGGGAUCAACUCAGAAGGAGAACAUCAAGGCUGGAAGGGUUUUUGGACUGAAGGAGUGGGUGGGAUUUUCUUGGACCCCUGUCAGAAAAUCCAUUUUCGUUUUUUUUUUUUUUUGCUGGAUUUAGCAAAGAUACGAGCAGUUCGGUUGGCCUUAACUGUGCCUGGCUAGUAUGAAUCGGGGUUAUAGGUUUUGGGGUUUUUUUCCCCCAUUCUUUAGUAUGUCUGGUAAACCCAGGGGUUGAAAUUAAAAUGUCAGGAUUAAGCUUUCGUCCUUCAUUUCCGUUUUCCUCCCUCUCUUCCUCCCUUCCCAUUUCCUUCCUUCCUUUCCUAUUUUCCUUCUUCCCUU